rnacentral:lncRNA from 10 species
CGGCGCCCUCCCUCCGUCCAAUGAGCGGGCCGCUGGGAGGCGGGACAAAGGGAGCGCGCAUCCGCCCGGAGCGCGUUCUCGUGUCCCGGCCCUGCCUUGGCCUCUAGUAAAUGGCGGAGGUGGUUUUAAUUUUUUUGAGGGCUGAGGAGAUCACUUCCGAAGGCGGAUCAGUGUAACAGACAAAGCAACUCUGUCACAAAAGGAAGCCUUCAUCUUUUUAAAGUGGGGGUGAAAGCAGCAGGAGUGCAUAAAAUGGCAUAUUUCCUUUCUGAAGACAAAGGAGACAAAAAGACCAGUGUAAUGUUCUGUCUCCCAGGCUGGAGUGCAGUGGUAUGAUCACAGCUAACUGCAGCCCCCCUGGGCUGAAUCUGUCCUCCUGCUUCAGCCUCCUGAGUAGCUGGAACUACAGGUACAUGCCACCACACUCAGCUAAUUUUUGUAUUUCUUUGAGAGAUAGGGUAUCGUCACGUUGCCCAGGCUGGUCUCAAACUCCUGAGCUCAACUGAUCUACCUGCCUCAGCCUCCCAAAGUGCUGGGAUUAUAGGUGUGAGCCACCGUGCCCGGCCUAAGUUCAUUAGCUUUCUACGCUCAAGUCUUUUGGAGAAGUUUGAGAUGUGACAGCAGCAGGCAUCAGAGGCUAGCAGCUCUCCCCCACCAUGAAGAAUUUUUCCCAUUCAGAUUCCAGCUUCCCCCUCUCACACCACCCCAGAGGGCAUGGAGAAGCUGGCUUUGCUCAGGAACCACAAUAAAGUGUAGUUUGUUAUGUGUGAAUGUAGAGCAUGCUGUUCUCCGUCCAACAUAAAUCCAUUUUUAUAACCAAAACUAUAAAUGACAGUGGAGCCAAAUUUGCUACUUUUUGGACAGACAUCUUAC